CUUACGAUAUUACUUGACAUAUAGAUUCUGAAAAAUAUAAAAAUAGAUUUGAAAAUAUAUGUGGAAGAUCUUUAAUAGAUCUCACUGGAGAAAGAGAGAGAUAGAGAGCAUUUAAAAAAAGAAGCUUUUUUUUUAUUUCUUCUCCACCAUCUUUUUUUCCCUACAAUCCUCUGUAGCUUCCCAAAAUCGACGAUUAAGAUCUUUCAAAGAACGGAUCCUUCAAGAUGGAGCUGGGGCAGAUCUUCGGUACAUGAAAGCAAAGACAUGUGGAGACAUCGAUGGCUCCAUGCUGCCACGCAUGUUUAUCAGCGGGAGGUAUGUCGGAGGGUUCAGAAUACUUACUGUGUUGAACUUCUUGAGCAGAUUUGUCUUCCUUCCUCCGCUAAUGGUGAUCACAUUAAGCAUACAAAUGAUGUUUUACAUCUUAUUGUUUUAUCCUUCAUGAUGGGCUUUUUAUUAUAGACUUCAUCUCUUAGUUUCUAGUAUUUAUCAGCGAUUUGAAUUAUGUAUUUUAAUGGUUGUUGCAAUUUAAGAUCUUUUUGGAUUAUGUAUUGUGAAAAUAUUUACAGAAAUAGUUAUAACAAUGAAUCUCAAGGAUCGAU
rnacentral:lncRNA from 1 species